rnacentral:rRNA from 1 species
UACGUAGGGCGCAAGCGUUGUCCGGAAUUAUUGGGCGUAAAGAGCUCGUAGGCGGUUUGUCGCGUCUGCUGUGAAAACCCGGGGCUCAACCCCGGGCCUGCAGUCGAUACGGGCAGACUAGAGUGCGGUAGGGGAGACUGGAAUUCCUGGUGUAGCGGUGAAAUGCGCAGAUAUCAGGAGGAACACCGAUGGCGAAGGCAGGUCUCUGGGCAUUAACUGACGCUGAGGAGCGAAAGCAUGGGGAGCGAACAGG